CUCGCUUUCAUUUUAAUGCUUUGUGAGAUUAACAUAUUAUAAUAAUUUUUUAUGUAUUUCUAUACCCCCUUAUCUAUUCACAGACCAAAAUACGAGUUCCCUACAUCAACAUAUGCACCAUACAGAUAAUAACAAAGCUCACAGGAGAAGCAGAUCAAUUUCAGGUGCCAAAAGACAUAACCAGCUAUUACCCACAACUAGAAUAUCUACGAAACUGUCUAAGACUAAAACAGAACAAGCAAGACUCGCUAAAAGACAGAAAUGGGCCCAACAUAUAUAAUUCAACAAAACAGAGAUUCAUCCUUCUACGACCUAGCAACCAUGCUAUAAGAACGAGACAACCUGAAAGUCAGGCUACCUCCAUUCACACUCAGCUCGGCCUCCUCAGCAUUGCCCUCAUAGUUCUU
rnacentral:misc_RNA from 1 species